rnacentral:rRNA from 1 species
AGGAGGCGAGCGUUAUCCGGAUUUACUGGGCGUAAAGGGAGCGCAGGCGGGUGUUUAAGUGGGAUGUGAAAGACCCGGGCUCAACUUGGGUGCUGCAUUUCAAACUGGUUAUCUAGAGUGCAGGAGAGGAGAGUGGAAUUCCUAGUGUAGCGGUGAAAUGCGUAGAGAUUAGGAAGAACACCAGUGGCGAAGGCGACUCUCUGGACUGUAACUGACGCUGAGGCUCGAAAGCGUGGGGAGCAAA